rnacentral:lncRNA from 1 species
ACUAACAUGGUCCAAUCGACGGUGCAAGCCGUUAUUUGCAUCCUGACUCAGCUGCCCGCCAACCAGCUACUCACGGUAGCCAGGAGCACUACGUGCAACUUGAUCAAGGCGAUCAACUCGGGCCUGCAAAACACAGCGGUUCAGGCGGCCUUCCUGGGCUUCAGCACGACUCUGAGCGCCGCUCUCGGCGUACCUUGUAUUCUGUCUGGGUGAAGAAGAUGAAUAUAAUCGAACGCCAGCGCAAAGCAAGAUUUGUACAUCGUUCCCAGAAGUUAAUCCAUCCUUUCUAUUGUAUCCCAGAACAAAAAAAA